rnacentral:rRNA from 1 species
AAACAUGUCUUUUUGAUUAUAAUUUAAAGUCUGACCUGCCCUAUGAAUANNNUUAUUUUAAAUGGCUGCGGUACUCUGACCGUGCAAAGGUAGCAUAAUAAUUAGUUUUUUAAUUGGGAACUGGUAUGAAAGGUCGAACGAGAAAAAGACUGUCUCAAUUUAAUUUAAAUUAGAAUUUUAUUUUUAAGUAAAAAAGCUUAAAUAAUUUUAAAAGACGAGAAGACCCUAUAGAGUUUUAUAUAAUUUAUAAUUUUUGAAAGUUAAAGAAUUGAAGAUUUAAUUAUUUUAGAUUAUAUUUGGUUGGGGCAAUUAAAAAAUUUAAUGAAUUUUUUUUAAAUUAUAACAUUGAUAUAUGAUUAAGUGAUCCAUAUUUUAUGAUUAAAAGAUUAAAUUACCUUAGGGAUAACAGCGUAANUUUUUUUUAGAGUUCUUAUCGAAAAAAGAGUUUGCGACCUCGAUGUUGGAUUAAAAUUUACUUUUGGCGCAGCAACUAAAAGGAUUAGGUCUGUUCGACCUUUAAAAUUUUACAUGA